rnacentral:rRNA from 1 species
UACGUAGGGGGCAAGCGUUGUCCGGAUUUAUUGGGCGUAAAGAGCGUGUAGGCGGCCAGAUAGGUCCGUUGUGAAAACUCGAGGCUCAACCUCGAGACGCCGAUGGAAACCAUGUGGCUAGAGUCCGGAAGAGGAGAGUGGAAUUCCUGGUGUAGCGGUGAAAUGCGCAGAUAUCAGGAAGAACACCCGUGGCUAAGGCGGCUCUCUAGUACGGUACUGACGCUGAGACGCGAAAGCGUGGGGAGCGAACAGG